UCGCACCAACUGAUUGAAUGGUUUGGUGAAAUACUGGGAUUUUAUUUGGUGGAGCUUCAUUGCUUUACUAUUGGAAAAACAGUAUUAAACCCAACUAUUUAGAAGAUGGUG
rnacentral:rRNA from 1 species